rnacentral:rRNA from 1 species
UACAGAGGCCCCAAGCGUUAGGCGGAAUCACUGGGCUUAAAGCGUGUGUAGGCGGGUCGUUAAGUACCUUGUGAAAUCCCACGGCUUAACCGUGGAACCGCUCGGUAUACUGGCGAUCUUGAGCCACUUAGGGGCUACCGGAACAGAUGGUGGAGCGGUGAAAUGCGUAGAUAUCAAGAGGAACACCUGAGGCGAAGGCGGGUUGCUAGGCUGACACUGACGCUGAGGCGCGAAAGCUAGGGUAGCAAACGGG